rnacentral:tRNA from 1 species
GCCGGGGUAGCUCAGCCUGGUUAGAGUGCCAGACUCAUAAUCUGGAGGUCGCGGGUUCGAAACCCGCCCCCGGUA